rnacentral:rRNA from 1 species
AACGAACGCUGGCGGCAGGCUUAACACAUGCAAGUCGAGCGAAGGCUUCGGCCUUAGCGGCGGACGGGUGAGUAACGCGUGGGAACGUGCCCUUUCCUCCGGAAUAGCCCAGGGAAACUUGGAUUAAUGCCGGAUACGCCCGAGAGGGGAAAGAUUUAUCGGGGAAGGAUCGGCCCGCGUUGGAUUAGGUAGUUGGUGGGGUGAUGGCCUACCAAGCCGACGAUCCAUAGCUGGUUUGAGAGGAUGAUCAGCCACACUGGGACUGAGACAAGGCCCAGACUCCUACGGGAGGCAGCAGUGGGGAAUCUUAGACAAUGGGGGAAACCCUGAUCUAGCCAUGCCGCGUGAUCGAUGAAGGCCUUAGGGUUGUAAAGAUCUUUCAGUGGGGAAGAUAAUGACUGUACCCACAGAAGAAGCCCCGGCUAACUCCGUGCCAGCAGCCGCCGUAACAC